rnacentral:rRNA from 1 species
UUUUCCUUCCGCGGCUCGCUGCGUGCGUUGGUGUUCCGGAACUUUUACUUUGAGAAAAAUAGAGUGUUUCAAGCAGGCUUGUCGCCCUGAAUACUGCAGCAUGGAAUAAUAAGAUAGGACCUUGGUUCUAUUUUGUUGGUUUCUAGGACCGAGGUAAUGAUUAAUAGGGACAGUUGGGGGCAUUCGUAUUUAACUGUCAGAGGUGAAAUUCUUAGAUUUGUUAAAGACGAACUACUGCGAAAGCAUUUGCCAAGGAUGUUUUCAUUAAUCAAGAACGACAGUAGGGGUUUUGAAGACGA